CCUACGGGAGGCAGCAGUGGGGAAUUUUGGACAAUGGACGCAAGCCUGAUCCAGCCAUGCCGCGUGCGGGAAGAAGGCCUUCGGGUUGUAAACCGCUUUUGUCAGGGAAGAAAUCUUCUGGGCUAAUACCUCGGGAGGAUGACGGUACCUGAAGAAUAAGCACCGGCUAACUACGUGCCAGCAGCCGCGGUAAU
rnacentral:rRNA from 1 species